CAGCCGCCGCGGUAAUACAGAGGGUGCGAGCGUUAAUCGGAUUUACUGGGCGUAAAGCGUGCGUAGGCGGCUUUUUAAGUCGGAUGUGAAAUCCCUGAGCUUAACUUAGGAAUUGCAUUCGAUACUGGGAAGCUAGAGUAUGGGAGAGGAUGGUAGAAUUCCAGGUGUAGCGGUGAAAUGCGUAGAGAUCUGGAGGAAUACCGAUGGCGAAGGCAGCCAUCUGGCCUAAUACUGACGCUGAGGUACGAAAGCAUGGGGAGCAAACAGGAUUAGAUACCCCGGUAGUCCCUGUCUCUUAUCC
rnacentral:rRNA from 1 species